rnacentral:rRNA from 1 species
AACGCUAGCUACAGGCUUAACACAUGCAAGUCGAGGGGCAGCAUGAACUUAGCUUGCUAAGUUUGAUGGCGACCGGCGCACGGGUGAGUAACACGUAUCCAACCUGGCCGUUACUCGGGAAUAGCCUUCCGAAAGGAAGAUUAAUACCCGAUGGCAUGCAUUUCCGGCAUCGGAGAUGCAUUAAAGAUUCAUCGGUGACGGAUGAGGAUGCGUACGAUUAGCUUGUUGGCGGGGUAACGGCCCACCAAGGCGACGAUGGAUAGGGGUGCUGAGAGGAAGGUCCCCCACACUGGAACUGAGACACGGUCCAGACUCCUACGGGAGGCAGCAGUGAGGAAUAUUGGUCAAUGGCCGGGAGGCUGAACCAGCCAAGUAGCGUGAAGGAUGAAGGUUCUAUGGAUUGUAAACUUCUUUUAUACGGGAAUAACACCGUCCACGUGUGGACGCCUGCAUGUACCGUAUGAAUAAGCAUCGGCUAACUCCGUGCCAGCAGCCGCGGUAAUACGGAGGAUGCGAGCGUUAUCCGGAUUUAUUGGGUUUAAAGGGAGCGUAGACGGGACGUUAAGUCAGUUGUGAAAGGCUGCGGCUCAACCGCAGCACUGCAGUUAAUACUGUCGUCCUUGAGUGCGGUUGAGGUGCGUGGAAUUCGUGGUGUAGCGGUGAAAUGCUUAGAUAUCACGAAGAACUCCUAUUGCGAAGGCAGCGCACCAAGCCGCUACUGACGUUGAGGCUCGAAAGUGUGGGUAUCAAACAGGAUUAGAUACCCUGGUAGUCCACACGGUAAACGAUGGACACUCGCUGUUGGCGAUAGACUGUCAGCGGCCAAGCGAAAGCAUUAAGUGUCCCACCUGGGGAGUACGCCGGCAACGGUGAAACUCAAAGGAAUUGACGGGGGCCCGCACAAGCGGAGGAACAUGUGGUUUAAUUCGAUGAUACGCGAGGAACCUUACCCGGGCUUAAAUUGCACUGGACAGGCAAAGAGAUUUGCUUUUCUUCGGACCAGUGUGAAGGUGCUGCAUGGUUGUCGUCAGCUCGUGCCGUGAGGUGUCGGCUUAAGUGC